CCUUAGCUCAGUGGUAGAACACCUGCUUUGCAUGCAGAAGGUCCCAAGUUCAACCCCUGGCAUCUAGA